GACGAACGCUGGCGGCGUGCUUAACACAUGCAAGUCGAACGGAAAGGCCCUGCUUUUGUGGGGUGCUCGAGUGGCGAACGGGGGAGUAACACGUGAGUAACCUGCCCUUGACUUUGGGAUAACUUCAGGAAACUGGGGCUAAUACCGUAUAGCAUCUCCUGCUGCAUGGUGGGGGGUGGAAAGUUUCGGCGGUUGGGGCUGGACUCGCGGCUUAUCAGCUUGCUGGUUGGGUAGUGGCUGACCAAGGCUUUGACCGGUAGCCGGCCUGAGAGGGUGACCGGCCACAUUGGGACUGCGAUACGGCCCAGACUCCUACGGGAGGCAGCAGUGGGGAAUAUUGCACAAUGGGCGGACGCCUGAUGAAGAAACGCCGCGUGCGGGAUGACGGCCUUCGGGUUGUAAACCGCUUUCGCCUGUGACGAAGCGUGAGUGACGGUACUGGGUAAAGAAGCACCGGCUAACUACGUG
rnacentral:rRNA from 1 species